CGGGACGGGUGAGUAACGCGUGGGUAACCUGCCUCACACAGGGGGAUAACAGUUGGAAACGACUGCUAAUACCGCAUAAGCGCACAGCUUCGCAUGAAGCAGUGUGAAAAACUCCGGUGGUACAAGAUGGACCCGCGUCUGAUUAGCUGGUUGGUGAGGUAACGGCCCACCAAGGCGACGAUCAGUAGCCGGCCUGAGAGGGUGAACGGCCACAUUGGGACUGAGACACGGCCCAA
rnacentral:rRNA from 1 species